rnacentral:lncRNA from 1 species
CUGACCGACCCCCGCCUGGCGGCAGCUCCACCCUGCCUGCUGUCCAAGAGGAGCCCGACCAUGAUGAUGGUGGCGUCUCCACGGCAACACCAGCACCGCAAGAGCAGUUGCAGGAACAUGGCGAGGGGGCCAAGCAAGCAGCGUUGGCCGUGGCCUGCAAGGACCCGUUUUCAGAGGACGUGCGGUGCACAAUAUUGAACUCGUGGCAGCCACAGAAGAGCGACCAAGAGCAGCUCCUUGAGUCGUCCGGCAAGCGCCCUGUCCUCAAGGCAGGCACGCAGAUCACUCUGGGUGGCCAGGAGGUGAAGGU